rnacentral:rRNA from 1 species
CACGUAGGGCGCAAGCGUUGUCCGGAAUUAUUGGGCGUAAAGAGCUCGUAGGCGGUCUGUUGCGUCCGCUGUGAAAACUCGGGGCUUAACCCCGAGCCUGCAGUGGAUACGGGCAGGCUAGAGGUAGGUAGGGGAGAAUGGAAUUCCCGGUGUAGCGGUGAAAUGCGCAGAUAUCAGGAGGAACACCGGUGGCGAAGGCGGGUCUCUGGGCCGAUAUUGACGCUGAGGAGCGAAAGCGUGGGGAGCGAACAGG